rnacentral:rRNA from 1 species
CCAGACUCCUACGGGAGGCAGCAGUGGGGAAUAUUGCACAAUGGGGGAAACCCUGAUGCAGCGACGCCGCGUGAGCGAUGAAGUAUUUCGGUAUGUAAAGCUCUAUCAGCAGGGAAGAAAAUGACGGUACCUGACUAAGAAGCCCCGGCUAACUACGUGCCAGCAGCCGCGGUAAUACGUAGGGGGCAAGCGUUAUCCGGAUUUACUGGGUGUAAAGGGAGCGUAGACGGCCAGACAAGUCUGAAGUGAAAAUCCAGCGCUUAACGUUGGAAGUGCUUUGGAAACUGCCGGGCUAGAGUGCAGGAGGGGCAGGCGGAAUUCCUAGUGUAGCGGUGAAAUGCGUAGAUAUUAGGAGGAACACCAGUGGCGAAGGCGGCCUGCUGGGCUUUUACUGACGCUGAGGCUCGAAAGUGUGGGGAGCAAACAGGAUUAGAUACCCCCGUACCC